rnacentral:tRNA from 1 species
UGUUUGGGGCAUUUACCAUUAAGCGAUUUAUAUGAAUCAUUAAUUUUUCUUUCGUGGAGUUUUUCCAUUAUUCAUAUGAU